UAAUACUCCAUAGAUUUAGAGACACUGGAAUGUUCUUUAAUCGAAAGUUCUGGCGCCUUAGGAUGGAUCUGCGGUCGAUUAGGUUGUUGUUGGGGUAACGGCCCAACAAGCCUGUAAUCGAUACGGGUUGUGGGAGCAAGAGCCCGGAGAUGGAAUCUGAGACACGAUUCCAGGCCCUACGGGGCGCAGCAGGCGCGAAAACUUUACAAUGCAGGCAACUGUGAUAAGGGAACUCCGAGUGCCCGUAUACGCGGGCUGUCCAGGUGUUUAAAAAUCAUCUGAAGAAAGGGCCGGGCAAGACCGGUGCCAGCCGCCGCGGUAAUACCGGCGGCUCGAGUGGUGGCCACUAUUAUUGGGCUUAAAGCGUCCGUAGCUGGACCGAUAAGUCUCUUGGGAAAUCCGCCGGCUCAACCGGCGGGCGUCUAAGGGAUACUGUUAGUCUAGGGACCGGGAGAGGUGAGAGGUACUCCGGGGGUAGGAGUGAAAUCCUGUAAUCCCCGGGGGACCACCGAUGGCGAAGGCAUCUCACCAGAACGGCUCCGACAGUGAGGGACGAAAGCUGGGGGAGCGAACCGGAUUAGAUACCCGGGUAGUCCCAGCCGUAAACUAUGCGCGUUAGGUGU
rnacentral:rRNA from 1 species